ACAUGCCUACAACAUAGCGUUAAUGUAUCAGAUUCCAUUAGAACUCUGUAAUUAAGUGCGCUCGGGCUAGAGUAGUACUGGGAUGGGUGAACGCCCGGGAAGUCCUAGUAUUUUACAUGCC
rfam:Picea glauca, whole genome shotgun sequence.